rnacentral:lncRNA from 1 species
GCUAUGUGAUCGUAACCUACACACGUGUAAAAUUGAAUUCGAUGAAUUCAGUUAUCUAGUCUUUUAAACUGACUUGAAGGAUUUACUUUACUUUGUUUUGGUAAUUCUUCUUCUAUAAAGUUUGAUUUUCAUCAUUUUUAGUUUUGAUUGGCUUCCAAGAAAUUUUUGAGUUGUCGAGCGAGCAUGGCGAAAUUCUCUUCAGCAUCACUAUCUUCAUCAUCCUUGUCCACUUCGUCAAUCCGGAAGGCAACAAUACCAGGUCUUUCCUCUUUCUUUGUGUUGAAGUUUAGCUCAUAUGUCAUCAACACGCCAUCGACUCUUCAAAUUUGAUAAACUUUCAUGUACUUGUUUUCCUCAAUGGAAGUUACUUUGAGUGAAUCUUCUAGGAAGAGACCACAAGAUUAUUAUUGAUAAUUUUGUCUCGGAGCAUUUUUUCCCCCAGAGCUUGGGAUAUGGCAUAGCAAAGUAUAGAGGUCCUCGCAGAAUUUGUCUAUUUCAUUCUCAGAUUCUCAAAUUUAGUUGCAAACAUCUAGAGCUUUGACAUCGAGGUUCAUUCGUGAGCAAUGUCAAGUGUAUCCCAAGCUUUGUUCACAAUUGUUGCAAAUAGAUAUCAAACAUAAUUGAUUGGAGACAAUAAAAGAUGAAUUUUGUAUUUAAAGCUUUAACAUUUAGAUUAGAGUCAUUCGACUAGAUGGAUGUCCAAAAUUUACAUUUCCUUUUUUCUUUCAACUCCAUUUUCUCUUCUAGUAGGUUGUUUUUAUUCAUUAACAAUAGUAUUCCAAACUUUUAUAUACAAAGGAAUAUACACUUUCAUACAAUUUUUUCAAUAAUUAUUGAAAAACUCAAAUUACCGAUUAAGAUAGACCUUACAUGCGAAAUUAUACAAUUAAAAGCAAUAAAUCAUUUUUUAAUUGCUUAUAGAUGGUUAAUCAAAUGAUUUAAUUUAUCCUAUGGUUUGAAUGCCGCAAAAAAUAAAUAUGAAAGCAAUAAAGAACACCAACGUUAUUGACGGAGAAACCUAACUAGAUAAAAACUUUGAGAUCAAGCUAGUAAUCUCCAUUAGACAACAUGAACUUAAAAUCCGAUCUAGCCUAGCAAAUUUCACUAGACUCACUGGUCUAAUUCUUGC